rnacentral:rRNA from 1 species
UAGGGAAUCUUCGGCAAUGGGGGGAACCCUGACCGAGCAACGCCGCGUGAGUGAAGAAGGUUUUCGGAUCGUAAAGCUCUGUUGUUAAGGAAGAACGAGUGUGAGAAUGGAAAGUUCAUGCUGUGACGGUACUUAACCAGAAAGGGACGGCUAACUACGUGCCAGCAGCCGCGGUAAUACGUAGGUCCCGAGCGUUGUCCGGAAUUAUUGGGCGUAAAGCGCGCGCAGGUGGUUUAGAAAGUCUGAUGUGAAAGCCCACGGCUCAACCGUGGAGUGUCAUUGGAAACUAAUACACUUGAGUGCAGGAGAGAAAAGUGGAAUUCCUAGUGUAGCGGUGAAAUGCGUAGCGAUUAGGAGGAACCCCGGUGGCGAAGGCGGCUUUUGGCCUGCAACUGACACUGAGGCGCGAAAGCGUGGGGAGCAAACAGG